GUGCUUGCUUCAGCAGCACAUGUACUAGAAUUGGAACAAUACAGAGAAGGUUAGCAUGGCCCCUGUGCAAGGAUGACGUGCAAAUUAGUGAAGUGUCCCAUAUUUCU